rnacentral:rRNA from 1 species
GUGAGGAAUAUUGGUCAAUGGGCGGGAGCCUGAACCAGCCAAGUCGCGUGAAGGAAGAAGGAUCUAUGGUUCGUAAACUUCUUUUGCAGGGGAAUAAAGUGCAGGACGUGUCCUGUUUUGUAUGUACCCUGAGAAUAAGGAUCGGCUAACUCCGUGCCAGCAGCCGCGGUAAUACGGAGGAUCCGAGCGUUAUCCGGAUUUAUUGGGUUUAAAGGGUGCGUAGGUGGUUUGAUAAGUCAGCGGUGAAAGUUUGCAGCUUAACUGUAAAAAUGCCGUUGAAACUGUCGGACUUGAGUGUAAAUGAGGUAGGCGGAAUGCGUGGUGUAGCGGUGAAAUGCAUAGAUAACACGCAGAACUCCGAUUGCGAAGGCAGCUUACUAAGCUACAACUGACACUGAAGCACGAAAGCGUGGGGAUCAAACAGGAUUAGAAACCCUAGUAGUCC